UUAUCUUUAAAUAUCCUCUAAUAAAAUUUUAAAUCUGUUCUUAUCAGUUUAAUAUCUGAUAUGUUCUCUAUCUGAGAACUUUAUAUGAAAUGGAUUUUUGGAACAGGGAGUUGGACUAGGAGCUUGCUCCAUCCACUCCACGCAUCAGCCCGGUAUUGCAGUACUUCUGGGCAUGGUGCACCUUCC
ensembl:snRNA U2 U2 spliceosomal RNA